rnacentral:tRNA from 1 species
GAAGUUCUGGCUCAAUGCGAGAGCAUCUGUUUGGCGUGCAGAAGGGUCCAGGUUAAAUUCCCAGGAUCUUUA